rnacentral:lncRNA from 1 species
UUCAGGAUGCCUCUCUGUUGUGAUUAUUUUGUUGGAUUUAACUUCUCUAGAACCAAACGUAACCGGUCUCUACAUUUCUGGCAAUCUCACACCGUUCCUUCAGUGAUCCAUGCUCGAAAUGCAUAAAUGAUCGCUGACUCUUCUUCCCCUGUAGUCCUCAUUAUCUACUUGAUUGAGCCUUUUUGACGCUUACUCAUUUUUUUUCUCUUCCCUCCUCCCAGCCAACCAUAAUUUCAGGUGCUUAUUAAAACACACUCAGAUUAAUCCCCCCAAUUAGCACUCAGGGUGCCCAACUCACAGCCAUACUGCAAAGUCCCAUUUCCUCCUUGAGUCCUUUGCUGAUAUGCCCUGGUUUACACUGAUUCCUACCCUGGCUUUCUUUAGACCCAAAGACAUUUAGGCAAGGGCGGAUGGGCCAUGUUGCUAAGGAGGCUUACACUUGAGGGCCCCUUAACUUGGACAGUC